UGGGGAUAUUGCACAAUGGGCGCAAGCCUGAUGCAGCCAUGCCGCGUGUGUGAAGAAGGCCUUCGGGUUGUAAAGCACUUUCAGCGAGGAGGAAGGGUUCAGUGUUAAUAGCACUGUUCAUUGACGUUACUCGCAGAAGAAGCACCGGCUAACUCCGUGCCAGCAGCCGCGGUAAUACGGAGGGUGCAAGCGUUAAUCGGAAUUACUGGGCGUAAAGCGCACGCAGGCGGUUUGUUAAGUCAGAUGUGAAAUCCCCGCGCUUAACGUGGGAACUGCAUUUGAAACUGGCAAGCUAGAGUCUUGUAGAGGGGGGUAGAAUUCCAGGUGUAGCGGUGAAAUGCGUAGAGAUCUGGAGGAAUACCGGUGGCGAGGGCGGCCCCCUGGCAAAGACUACGCUCAGUGCGAAAG
rnacentral:rRNA from 1 species